GCUUAACGCGAAGAACCUUACCAGGUCUUGACAUCCUCUGACAACUCUAGAGAUAGAGCGUUCCCCUUCGGGGACGAGAGUGACAGGUGGUGCAUGGUUGUCGUCAGCUCGUGUCGUGAGGUGUCAGGUUAAGUCCUAUAACGAGCGCAACCCCUGUUGUUAGUUGCCAGCGAGUCAAGUCGGGAACUCUAGCAAGACUGCCGGUGACAAACCGGAGGAAGGUGGGGACGACGUCAAGUCAUCAUGGCCCUUACGACCUGGGCUACACACGUGCUACAAUGGGGCGCACAAAGGGUUGCCAAGCCGCGAGGUGGAGCUAAUCCCAUAAAACGUCUCGUAGUCCGGAUUGGAGUCUGCAACUCGACUCCAUGAAGUCGGAAUCGCUAGUAAUCGUAAAUCAGAAUGUUACGGUGAAUACGUUCCCGGGUCUUGUACACACCG
rnacentral:rRNA from 1 species